GCAAGUCGAACGAAAUGUUCGGAUCUAGUGGCGCACGGGUGCGUAACGCGUGCCAAUCUGCCCUUGGGUUCGGAAUAACAUCUGGAAACGGAUGCUAAUACCGGAUGAUUACGUAAGUCCAAAGAUUUACCGCCCAGGGAUUGGCCCGCGUAGGAUUAGCUAGUUGGUGAGGUAAAGGCUCACCAAGGCGACGAUCCUUAGCUGGUCUUAGAGGAUGAUCAGCCACACUGGGACUGAGACACGGCCCAGACUCCUACGGGAGGCAGCAGUGGGGAAUAUUGGACAAUGGGCGAAAGCCUGAUCCAGCAAUGCCGCGUGAGUGAUGAAGGCCUUAGGGUUGUAAAGCUCUUUUACCCGGGAUGAUAAUGACAAUACCGGGAGAAUAAGCCCCGGCUAACCCCCUGCCAGCAGCCGCGGUAAU
rnacentral:rRNA from 1 species